GUGCUUGCUUUGGCAGCGUAUACACUAAAAUUGGAACAACAGAGAGAAGAUUAGUAUGGCCCCUGCAUGAGGAUGACAUGGAAAUUUGUGAAUCGUUCCACAUUUUU
ensembl:snRNA U6 U6 spliceosomal RNA